CCCUUAGAUGUCCUGGGCCGCACGCGUGCUACACUGACGCCUACAGCGAGUACUUCCCAGCCCCGAGAGGUGGCUGGUAAUCAGCAAUAGACGUCGUGAUGGGGAUAGAUCUUUGGAAUUAUGGAUCUUGAACGAGGAAUGCCUAGUAAGCGCAGGUCAUUAGCCUGCGCUGAUUAAGUCCCUGCCCUUUGUACACACCGCCCGUCGCUCCUACCGAUUUCGAGUGGUCCGGUGAAUCUUUCGGACUGCGCGCGGCCUCGUGCCGUGUCGCGGAAAGUCAGGUAAACCUUAUCACUUAGAGGAAGGAGAAGUCGUAACA
rnacentral:rRNA from 1 species